UGUUAAAAAAACCAUCUAUCUAUAUUGUUAAAAAUUGACUUGGUUGAUGGAAUAAUAAACAAGUGACAUGUGGUGUGUCACGUGCAUCUUAUGUUGAUAUACAAUGAUCAACUUUUAAAAGUAGAAUUGAAAGUAAUUUUUAAUA
rfam:Gossypium hirsutum cultivar TM-1 chromosome 19, whole genome shotgun sequence